GACGAACGCUGGCGGCGUGCUUAACACAUGCAAGUCGAACGGAAAGGCCCUGCUUUUGUGGGGUGCUCGAGUGGCGAACGGGUGAGUAACACGUGAGUAACCUGCCCUUGACUUUGGGAUAACUUCAGGAAACUGGGGCUAAUAUCGGAUAGGAUCUCCUGCUGCAUGGUGGGCGUUGGAAAGUUUCGGCGGUUGGGGAUGGACUCGCGGCUUAUGAGCUUGUUGGUGGGGUAGUGGCUUACCAAGGCUUUGACGGGUAGCCGGCCUGAGAGGGUGACCGGCGACAUUGGGCCUGAGAGAGGGAGCAGACGCGAAUGGGAGGCAGCGGUGGGGAGUCUUGCACAAUGGGCGGACGCGUGAUGCGGCGACGCCGCGUGCGGAAUGACGGCCUUCGGGUUGUGAACCGCUUUCGCCUGAGACGAAGCGUGAGUGACGGUAAUGAAUAAAGAAGCACCGGCUAACUACGUG
rnacentral:rRNA from 1 species